rnacentral:rRNA from 1 species
GCGUUAUCCGGAAUGAUUGGGCGUAAAGCGUCCGCAGGUGGCAGUUCAAGUCUGCUGUCAAAGACCGGGGCUUAACUUCGGAAAGGCAGUGGAAACUGAACAGCUAGAGUAUGGUAGGGGCAGAGGGAAUUCCUGGUGUAGCGGUGAAAUGCGUAGAGAUCAGGAAGAACAUCGGUGGCGAAGGCGCUCUGCUGGACCAUAACUGACACUCAGGGACGAAAGCUAG